rnacentral:rRNA from 1 species
UACGGAAGGCAGCAGUGGGGAAUAUUGGACAAUGGGCGCAAGCCUGAUCCAGCCAUGCCGCGUGUGUGAAGAAGGCCUUCGGGUUGUAAAGCACUUUUGUCCGGAAAGAAAAGCUUAGGGUUAAUAACCUUGAGUCAUGACGGUACCGGAAGAAUAAGCACCGGCUAACUUCGUGCCAGCAGCCGCGGUAAUACGAAGGGUGCAAGCAUUACUCGGAAUUACUGGGCGUAAAGCGUGCGUAGGUGGUUUUGUUAAAGUCUGAUGUGAAAGCCCUGGGCUCAACCUGGGAAUGGCAUUGGAAACUGGCUUACUAGAGUGCGGUAGAGGGGUGUGGAAUUCCCGGUGUAGCAGUGAAAUGCGUAGAUAUCGGGAGGAACAUCUGUGGCGAAGGCGACACCCUGGACCAGCACUGACACUGAGGCACGAAAGCGUGGGGAGCAAACGAGGAUUAGAUACC